rnacentral:rRNA from 1 species
UAGGGAAUCUUCCACAAUGGACGCAAGUCUGAUGGAGCAACGCCGCGUGAGUGAAGAAGGCUUUCGGAUCGUAAAGCCCUGUUGUUGGUGAAGAAGGAUAGAGGCAGUAACUGGUCUUUAUUUGACGGUAAUCAACCAGAAAGUCACGGCUAACUACGUGCCAGCAGCCGCGGUAAUACGUAGGUGGCAAGCGUUGUCCGGAUUUAUUGGGCGUAAAGCGAGCGCAGGCGGAAUGAUAAGUCUGAUGUGAAAGCCCACGGCUCAACCGUGGAACUGCAUCGGAGACUGUCAUUGUUGAGUGCAGAAGAGGGGAGUGGAAUUCCAUGUGUAGCGGUGGAAUGCGUAGAUAUAUGGAAGAACACCAGUGGCGAAGGCGGCUCUCUGGUCUGCAACUGACGCUGAGGCUCGAAAGCAUGGGUAGCGAACAGG